AACGAACGCUGGCGGCAGGCUUAACACAUGCAAGUCGAGCGCCCCGCAAGGGGAGCGGCAGACGGGUGAGUAACGCGUGGGAAUCUACCCUGAUCUGCGGAAUAGCUCCGGGAAACUGGAAUUAAUACCGCAUGUGCCCUGAGGGGCAAAGAUUUAUCGGUUCAGGAUGAGCCCGCGUCCGAUUAGCUAGUUGGUGGGGUAAUGGCCUACCAAGGCGACGAUCGGUAGCUGGUCUAAGAGGAUGAUCAGCCACAUUGGGACUGAGACACGGCCCAAACUCCUACGGGAGGCAGCAGUGGGGAAUAUUGGACAAUGGGCGCAAGCCUGAUCCAGCCAUGCCGCGUGAGUGAUGAAGGCCCUAGGGUUGUAAAGCUCUUUCAGUGGGGACGAUAAUGACGGUACCCACAGAAGAAGCCCCGGCUAACUUCGUGCCAGCCGCCGCCGUAA
rnacentral:rRNA from 1 species